rnacentral:tRNA from 1 species
GGGUAGCUCAGCGGGUAGAGCAAUUCGUGUCCACAUCCCUUGUCGCUGCACCCCGGCCGUCCAGGCGGCCAACCGAAUUUGCCCGGCGAAUGCCGGUGGAACUACAGGACGUCGUGGUUGCGGGUUCGACUCCCGCCGGCUCUCCA